GUGAAUCAUCAAAUUUUUGAACGCAAAUUGCACUCUCUGGUAUUCCGGAGAGUAUGCCUGUUUGAGGGUCAGUUUAAAUAAAAAUCGGUGUGGUUGCUGCCUUUCGUGGUGACGGACUGGAUUUGGGUCGUAUUGCUUUUGGUUAAGUGACUUAAAAUUUUGCAUGUUUGCUUUCGAAUGUAUUUAAAUGAUUUUACGUUUGUUCGAGUUAUAGAAUACUAGGUGUGGUAAUUCACAUGAUUACAGCGUAUA
rnacentral:misc_RNA from 1 species